UUUGCUUCAUCUUUUUUAGAGUGGUUUAUCUGGUACAAGUACAAUUGGCUGAGAAUGAUGUGGACCGAAUGUUGCGUCAUCUUUCUAGAAUUGCCAUGGCGUUCUUAUAAGCAAUCCAACCAACAUUUUUCCGUGGCAAUAUUUCACUUUUUUCAUUUUCCUACUCUUUUAUUCUCUUCUCUUCUCUUUUUCAUCCUCCACCUACUGC
rnacentral:lncRNA from 1 species